rnacentral:rRNA from 1 species
UACGUAGGGCGCAAGCGUUAUCCGGAAUUAUUGGGCGUAAAGAGCUCGUAGGCGGUUUGUCGCGUCUGCCGUGAAAGUCCGGGGCUCAACUCCGGAUCUGCGGUGGGUACGGGCAGACUAGAGUGAUGUAGGGGAGACUGGAAUUCCUGGUGUAGCGGUGAAAUGCGCAGAUAUCAGGAGGAACACCGAUGGCGAAGGCAGGUCUCUGGGCCGUAACUGACGCUGAGGAGCGAAAGCGUGGGGAGCAAACAGG